rnacentral:rRNA from 1 species
UUCCUUUAAACGAGCGUAACUCUUAUUUUUAAAAGUUUACUUUUAAUUUUUGAUGUUUAUCAGAAAUUUUGCUUUAAAAAGACUGUUUGUUAAUAUAAAUAAUACAUUAAAGGAAGGUGAGAAUUAAGUCAAGUCACUGUGGCCCUUAUGGGUUGGGCUACACACGUGCUACAAUGAAAAUUACAAAAAGUAACAAAAAUAAAAAAUUUUCGUUAAUCUUUAAAAAUUUUCUUAGUUCGGAUUGUAAACUGAAACUCGUUUACAUAAAGAUGGAAUCACAAGUAAUCGCAAAUCAGAAUGUUGCGGUGAAUACGUACCUUGGCUUUGUACACACCGCCCGUCACAUGCAGAAAGCUAGUUUUACUUUAAAUUUAAAUUUUUUUAUUUUUUUUUGAUUUUUAUUUUUCUUGAGAAAAAACAAAAACGUUAAUUCAUUGAAAAAUUAGCAAUUUGGAUG